rfam:Gorilla gorilla gorilla genomic chromosome, chr4, whole genome shotgun sequence
GGACGUGAGGGCGAUCUGGCUGCAACAUUUGUCAACCCUUUGAUCGCCAGGGUUGAUUCAGCUGAUCUGGCUGGCUAGGCGGGUGUCCCCUUCCUUCCUCCCUGCUCCAUGUGCAUCCCUCCCGAAGCUGUGCACUUGGCCAAAGAGGAUGACCAUCCCCGAUGAAGGAGGACCGGUCUUUGGUCAACGUGUAUGAGUAGCUGCGCUCCCCUGCCAGAACCUCCAAACAAGCUCUCAAAUUACUAAAUUAUCAGGAACCAAUGUCUUUGGAGAAUAUUUCCUAACCUUUCCGGAGGUGUUUUUAUGUGUUUUGGG